UUAAGCUCAAUGGCAUGGACUGAAUCAAUCAAAUAUUGUAAAAUGACUAUAUUACCCAACGUGAAAAUGUUUGCCUUUUGUUCCUCUCAGGUUCCGAUUGUUGUUCCUGCUUUGGUGGUGAUUGUGUCCUGUUACCUAGUUCUCGCUCCCAUCAUAGACAAGCCUGAGUGGGAGUACCUGUACUGCACGGCGUUCAUAGUCAGCGGUCUUCUAUUAUAUGUACCCCUUAUUUACUACAAAUUCAACUGGACUCGCCACAUCAUGAGGCCACUCACUAUGCACCUCCAGCUGCUACUGCAAGUCGUUCCAUCCGAAAAGAUUGAGUGAAAGAUGUCAAACUUGAGGAAAGACAGACAUAACAGCCUGCAAUGGACAACAGAUUGAUCCGUGGAAAUGUGGAUAAAGGCUCCUUAAAGGGAACACAGCUGUUUUUUUUCCAAUAUGAGACCAGACCAUCUAUUGUUUAAUGGACUGCAGGCCUUUCCCAGGGCACAUGGAUUUGUUUUUACUUCAAAGAAUAAUGUAUCUUUUCCAUGAAUGUCUGUAAAUUAUGACAACUUCCAGUUUAUCUAACUUAUUUUAUAAUUCAAAUGCAAGUUUGUUGUACAGGAUAACAAUGAUAUUUUCCACCUUUACUGAACUCAAAUGUAUUAAUUGUGUUAAUAUAUUGACUCAGACUCAUUUAAUCACAUUAGAAGAAUUGUAGUAAUGUAAGUCUUUAAGUAGCCAAUAUUAUAAUUGUAGUUACUAGGAAAAAAAAUGCAACAAUGGGAUUCUAGUAAAAAUCGCAUUCGUUUCCUCCACAGGUAAAUUGAUUUUUAACUAUAACUUUUAAAGACAGACCUACUGUAAGCUAUGAAGAUGUUUGUUUGUUUUGGCCUAUUUUAAUAUGCACAUAUAUUUUAACUGUUCACGGUUUGUUUUCAAUUCAGUGUCUAUUAAAGUUUUACAUUACUCUGCAA